GUCAGGCUAUGGAAAAAAAAGAAGGUGAAGAUAGUGCCAAUUAUUGUUGUGUCCUUGGGAACGGUAUCAGAAGGCAUCAAGAGGAAUAUAAAGGAAAUUGGAAUAGAGUGCCCAGUAGAAUUGUUACAAAAGAUUUGCCUCCUCAGCACGGCCAGAACAAUCAGGAAAGUAUUGGAUAGCUGAAAAGAAUGAAUAGCAUGGUACCGUAGCCUACAGGUAGUAAGCCCACUACGCAUGCAAGACUCC